rnacentral:rRNA from 1 species
UACGUAGGGGGGCUAGCGUUGUCCGGAAUCAUUGGGCGUAAAAGCGCGCGUAGGUGGCCUCAUAAGUCCGCUGUGAAAAGUCAAAAGGCUCAACCUUUGAAAGCCGGUGGAUACUGUGAGGCUAGAGUACGGAAGAGGCGAGUGGAAUUCCUGGUGUAGCGGUGAAAUGCGCAGAUAUCAGGAAGAACACCAAUGGCGAAAGCAGCUUUCUGGGACGGUACUGACGCUGAGACGCGAAAGCGUGGGGAGCGAACAGG